CAUCUCUGUGCUUGAGAGAGGGGAAUCUGGUCGGUGGUACCUCUCUUGUAGCCAGGGACAAAGCAAUUUCUUUCUUUUUCCUUUCAUCUGUGUCCUUGCCUGGUUCAUAUCCUAUGAAUAGUA